rnacentral:rRNA from 1 species
CCUGAAAGAUUAUAGGAGGUCCAGCCUGCCCAGUGAUAAAAUUAAACGGCCGCGGUACCCUAACCGUGCGAAGGUAGCGCAAUCACUUGUUCUUUAAAUGAGGACUAGUAUGAACGGCAUCACGAGGAUUAUACUGUCUCCCUUCUUUAAUCAGUGAAACUGAUCCCCCCGUGAAGAAGCGGGAAUAAACAUAUAAGACGAGAAGACCCUAUGGAGCUUUAAACUUAACACCACUUAUCUAAAACACUUCAUAAUAAACAGAUAAGCUUGUGCGCAUUUUAGGUUGGGGUGACCGCGGAGUAAAAUUUAACCUCCACGUUGAAAGGCCUUUAUCCUUAUCCAAGAGCCACAUCUCCAAGAAUCAACAAAUUGACAUUUAUUGACCCAAAUUUUUUUGAUCAACGAAC